UGGAGGGAGAAUUUCUGCAUGAGGCCGACCCUGGUGAGGUGAAUCUGACUCUGAGUCUAUGUGCGUAUUGGAGGGAGAAUUUCUGCAUGAGGCCGACCCUGGUGAGGUGAAUCUGACUCUGAGUCUAUGUGCGUAUUGGAGGGAGAAUUUCUGCAUGGGGCCGACCCUGGUGAGGUGAAUCUGACUCUGAGUCUAUGUGCGUAUUGGAGGGAGAAUUUCUGCAUGGGGCCGACCCUGGUGAGGUGAAUCUGACUCUGAGUCUAUGUGCGUAUUGGAGGGAGAAUUUCUGCAUGAGGCCGACCCUGGUGAGGUGAAUCUGACUCUGAGUCUAUGUGCGUAUUGGAGGGAGAAUUUCUGCAUGGGGCCGACCCUGGUGAGGUGAAUCUGACUCUGAGUCUAUGUGCGUAUUGGAGGGAGAAUUUCUGCAUGAGGCCGACCCUGGUGAGGUGAAUCUGACUCUGAGUCUAUGUGCGUAUUGGAGGGAGAAUUUCUGCAUGGGGCCGACCCUGGUGAGGUGAAUCUGACUCUGAGUCUAUGUGCGUAUUGGAGAGAGAAUUUCUGCAUGGGGCCGACCCUGGUGAGGUGAAUCUGACUCUGAGUCUAUGUGCGUAUUGAAGAGAGAAUUUAUGGCAGAUGUUCAUUUUGAACAAUGUAGUGUCCAGAGUAUUUUUACUCGUGCCCUCCAUUGAAACAAAGGAAGGAAGAA